rnacentral:tRNA from 1 species
GCCCUAGUAGCAUAACGGUAAAGCGUUUGGCUGCUAACCACAAGGUUGCUGGUUCGAACCCACCCAGCAGCU